rnacentral:lncRNA from 1 species
GGGCUCUUGGGGUGGAGAGUUUGGGGGGGCGUGGGGGACAAGGAGGAGUCCUGGGGAGGAUAAAUGUGCCCCUCGCCUUCUCCAGCCUCACCCAGGACUCACCACACCGCAGAGGAAGAUGAAGGUGGCAGUGAUCAGCGUGGCCCUGCUCUUCACCAUCCUGCUGUGCACCCCGGACGAUGCUCAGGCACUCUUCGAAGCAAGUGGAGGCUACUGCAUAGGAGGGGGUUACAAGAUCGGGAAAGUGAAGAGGGAUGUGCCCCUGAUGGACGAGAAGCUGGUGGAGGUUGCGCGUCAGAAACGCAUGGCUGAAGUGGCUGAGGCCUAGGUGAGCAGCAUCGGGGGGUCUCCAGCCCCACAGCGGGUCCUGGGCCUCAGGGCAUCCCCCAGCCCCCCGGGGUGGGCAGACCUUGGCUCUGGGAGAGGGCAACAGAGGGGACUGUC